rnacentral:misc_RNA from 1 species
CAACCCUCGAGCCCCCGUGGCCCGGCGUUGGGGACCUGCCCAGGCAGCCCCCGAAAACCAGUGGCGGACCCGUUACAGGCCCUUCCCUUGCGUAGUAGCAUUCGCCUCGCAUCGGGAGCCGGCGGGCUUUCCAGCCUCUAAACCCCCAUCAAGUCCGCCCCGGCGGCACCAA